UUGCCAGUCGUUGGUUAAGUCCAAAGAAGAAAAGGCCUGGAAGGAGGAGAGAUGACUAGAAACGAUUCGGUUGACCGUUUUAUGUGUGGAUUAGUUGUCAUAGUAGAGGACCUUGUGUGGAUUUCAGAUGUCCAGGAGGUACAAGAGAACAAUGAUUUAGAAGAGGAGGAGGUAUCUGAAGAUGAAGAUGGGGAAGAAUACAACCCAGAGCACGAUGCAUCAUCUUCAGAUGAAGAAAUCCCCCAAGCUGAAAGAGAUAUUUUUGUCAAAGAACAGCAACAUAACAUGGUCCUUGUCACCAUAUGACAACCAGGGCAGGAUGGCAGCACAAAAUAUCAUAAGGAUGAAAAGACAUGCAGAUGACAAGGCUCACAAGACAUGCAGAUGCCCAGGACAUCACCUCAACAUUGUACAUGUUCAUCACACCAGCCAUCGAAAAAAUCAUCCUGGAGAUGACAUAUUUGGAGGGUUUCCGUAAAUCUGGAGUCAACUGGAAAAGGAUGGAUGACAUUGACCUGCGUGCCUAAAUAGGGCUGCUAAUCUUAGCGGGUGUGUAUAGGUCCCGAGGCGAGGCUACAUAUAGUCUCUGGAAUGCAGAGAGUGGAAGGCCGAUUUUCCGUGCCACGAUGCCACUGAAAGUCUUUCACACUUUCUCAAGAAUGCUACGAUUUGAUAACCGUGAGUCAAGACCUGCAAGAUGUGUGAGAGACAAAUUGGCGGCCAUAAGAGAGGUCUGGGAGAAGUGGGUGGAGCGUCUGCCAUACCUCUACAACCCUGGUCCUGAAGUAACAGUGGAUGAGCAACUGGUUCCAUUCAGAGGUCACUGUCCUUUCCGGCAGUAUAUGCCUAGCAAGCCAGCAAAGUAUGGAAUCAAGAUUUGGGUGGCCUGUGACACACAAUCCAGCUACGCUUGCCAAAGCAGCAGCUACUCUUCCUGGGGUCCAGCAAAAUUAAGGCAGUUAAUACAAUUUAAAAAACAUUACAAUAAAUUUACAGAUUUCACAACACACUGCGUGCCCUCAGGCCCCUACUCCACCACUACCACAUAUCUACAGUACUAAAUCCAUGUGUAUGUAUAGUGCAAUUGUGUAUGUAAUCGUGUGUGUGUGUGUGCCAAUGUUUGUGUUGCUUCACAGUCCCCGCUGUGCCAUAAGGUGUUUUUUUAAUCUGUUUUUGAAAUCUAAUUUUACUGCUGGCAUGAGUUACUUUCUGUGGAAUAGAGUUCCAUGUCGUCAUGGCUCUAUGUAGUACUCUGUGCCUCCCAUAGUCUGUUCUGGACUUGGGGACUGUGAAGAGACCUCUUGUGGCAUGUCUUGUGGGGUAUGCAUGGGUGUCCGAGCUGUGUGCCAGUAGUUUAGACAGACAGCUCUGUGCAUUCAACAUGUCAAUACCUCUCAUAAAUAAAAGUAGUGAUGAAGUCAAUCUCUCCUCCACUCAGCCAAGAGAGAUUGACAUGCAUAUUAUUAAUAUUAGCUCUCUAUGUACAUCCAAGGGCCAGCCGUGUUGCCCUGUUCUGAGCCAAUUGCAAGUCCUUUUUUGUGGCACCUGACCAUACGACUGAACAGUAGUCAAGGUGCAACAAAAUUAGGGCCUGUAGGACCUGCCUUGUUGAUAGUGUUGUUAAGGCAUGUCACGCCCUGACCAUAGUUAUCUUUGUUUUCUUUAUUAUUUUGGUUAGGUCAGGGUGUGACGAGGGUGAUAUAUGUGUUUUUCUCCUGUCUAGGGUUUUUGUAUGUUUAUGGGGUUUUCCAGUCUAUGUGUUUUUAUGUCUAUGGUUGCCUAGGUUGGUUCUCAAUCAGAGGCAGCUGUUUAUCGUUGUCUCUGAUUGGGGACCAUAUUUAGGUAGCCAUAUGCCUUGGAUAGUUUAUGGGUUAUUGUCUAUGUGUAGUUGCCUGUGUCUGCACUCGUUGUUCAUAGCUUCACGUUCGUUUUGUUGUUUUGGUUAGUUUGUUUAGUGUGUAUUCGUUAAAUAAAAGAAGGUUGUAUUCAAAUCACGCUGCGCCUUGGUCUCCUCGUUAUGACGAAUGUGACAAGGCGGCAGAGCAUCGCUUUAUUAUAGACAGAUUUCUCCCCAUCUUAGCAACUAACGGCAUCAUAAUGUUUUGACCAUGACAGUUUAGAAUCUAGGGCUACUCCAAGCAGUUUAGUCGUCUAUACUCAAUUUCCACAUUAUUUAUUACAUUAUUUAGUUGAGGUUUAGAGUUUAGUGAGUGUUUUGUUCCAAAUACAAUGCUUUUAGUUUUAGAAAUAUUUAGGGCUAAUUUAUUCCUUGCCACCCACUCUGAAACUAACUGCAGCUCUUUGUUGAGUGUUUCAGUCAUUUCAGUCGCUGUAGCAGCUGACAUGUAUAGUGUUGAGUCAUCCGCAUACAUAGACACUCUGGGUUUACUCAAAGUUAGUGGCAUGUCGUUAGUAAAUAUUGAAAAAAGCAAAGGGCCUAAACAGCUACCCUGGGGAAUUCCUGAUUCGAACUGGAUUGUAUUUGAGAGGCUUCCAUUAAAGAACACCCUCUGUUUUGUUAGAUAAGUAACUCUUUAUCCACAUUAUAGCAGGGAGUGUAAAGCCAUAACACAUAUGUUUUUCCAGCAGCAGAAUGUGAUCGAUAAUGUCAAAAGCUGCACUGAAGUCUAACAAAACAACCCCCACAAUACUUUUAUCAUCAAUUUCUCUCAGCCAAUCAUCAGUCAUUUGUGUUAAGUGCUUGUUGAAUUUCCUUCCCUAUAAGAAUGCUGAAAUUCUGUUGUCAAUUUGUUUACUGUGAAAUAUCUUUGUAUCUGGUCAAACACAUUUUUUUCCAGAAGUUUACUAAGGGUUGGUAACAGGCUGAUUGGUCGGCUAUUUGAGCCAGUAAAGGGGGCUUUACUAUUCUUGGGUAGCGGAAUGACUUUAGCUUCCCUCCAGGCCUGAGGGCACACACUCUCUAGUAGGCUUAAAUUGAAGAUGUGGCAAAUAGGAGUGGUAAUAUCGUCUGCUUAUCAAGAAUCAAAGUAAGACCCAGAUGCAGACUGUGUCGAAGUAACACUGUUUAUUGUAGCAACAGGGGCAGGCAAAGACAGGUCGAGGCAGGCAGGGGUCGAAAAUCCAGGGUAAGGGAAAAGGUACAGGACAGCAGGUGGACUCAGGGUCAGGGACAGGCAGGAUUCAGUAAUCCAGAGGUGGAGCAAAGGUAUAAAAUGUCAAAACCGGGAGGACUAGCAAAGAGAGGCUGAGAAACGAUAGGAGCUGACAAGAAAACCGCUGGUAAGCUUGAACGAAUAAGACGAACUGGCAACAAACAGACAGAGAACACAGGUAUAAAUACAUAGGGGAUAAUUAGGAAGAUGGGCGACACCUGGAGGGGGGUGGAGACAAGGACAGGUGAAAUAGAUCAGGACGUGACUGCUAUUAUCCUCAGCAAUUUUCCAUCCAGAUUGUCAGACCCCGGUGGCUUGUCAUUGUUGAUAGACAACAAUAUUUUUUUCACCUCUUCCACACUGACUUCACGGAAUUCAAAAGUACAAUUCUUGUCUUUCAUAAUUUGGUCAGAUAUACUUGGAAAUGCAAGUGUCAACGUUUGCUGCUGGCAUGUCAUCCCUAAGUUUGCUUAUCUUGCCAAUGAAAAGCCAUUAAAUUAAAGUAGUUUGCAAUAUCAGUGGGCUUUGUGAUGAAUGAGCCAUCUGAUUCAAUGAAUGAAGGAGCCGAGUUGGCUUUUUUCCACAAAAUGUCAUUUAUGGUGCCAAAAAGCUUUUUACUAUCAUAAUGUAUCUUCGUUUCAUAGUGUAGUUUAUUUAGUUUAGUCACAUGAUUUCUUAAUUUGCAAUAUGUUUGCCAAUCAGUUGGGCUGCUAGACUUAAUUGCCAUACCUUUUGCCUCAUCCCUCUCAAGAAUACAAUUUUUCAAUUCCUCAUCAAUCCAAGGGGAUUUAACAGUUUUUACAGUAAUUUUCUUAAUGUGUGCGUGCUUAUUAGUAACUGGAAUAAGUGGUUUCAUAAAUGCGUCAAUUGCAGCAUCUGGUUGCUCCUCAUUACACACCAUAGACCAGCAAAUAUUAUUUACAUCAUCAACAUAUGAAUCACUACAAAACGUCUUGUAUGACCUCUUAUACACUAGAUUAGGCCAAGCCUUUUCUUAGAUAUGGCUAUUAUAUUGUGAUCACUACAUCCUAUGGAUUUGGAUACUGCUUUAAAGCAAAUAUCUGCAGCAUUAGUAAAGAUGUGAUCAAUACAUGUUGAUGAUUUAAUUCCUGUGCUGUUUGUAAUAACCCUGGUUGGUUGACUGACAACCGUGAGCUAUAGUCGGCCUUGUCUCAGGAUGGAAAGUUGGUGGUUGGAUAUAUCCCUCUAGUGGUAUGGGGGCUGUGCUUUGGCAAAGUGUGUGGGGUUAUAUCCUGCCUGUUUGGCCCUGUCCGGGGGUAUCGUCGGACGGGGCCACAUUGUCUCCCGACCCCUCCUGUCUCAGCCUGCAGUAUUUAUGCUGCAAUAGUUUGUGUCGGGGGCUAGGGUCAGUCUGUUAUAUCUGGAGUAUUUAUCUUGUCUUAUCCGGUGUCCUGUGUGAAUUUAUGUAUGCUCUCUCUAAUUCUCUCUUUUUCUCUAUUUUCUUUCUUUCUCUCUCAGGAGGACCUGAGCCCUAGGACCAUGCCUCAGGACUACCUGGCCUGAUGACCCCUUGCUGUCCCCAGUCCACCCCUUCGUGCUGCUGCUCCAGUUUCAACUGUUCUGCCUGCGGCUAUGGAACCCAGACCUGUUCACCAGACGUGCUACCUGUCCCAGACCUGCUGUUUUCAACUCUCUAGAGACAGCAGGAGUGGGAGAGAUACUCUGAAUGAUCAGCCAUGAAAAGCCAACCGUCAUUUACUCCUGAGAUGCUGACCUGUUGCACCUUCUACAACCACUGUGAUUAUUAUUAUUUGACCCACAUAUUUGACCCCACAUGGCCACAUCUUGGCCAUGUUCUGUUAUAAUCUCCACCCGGCACAGCCAGAAGAGGACUGGCCACCCCUCAUAGCCUGGUUCCUCUCUAGGUUUCUUCCUAAGUUGUGGCAUUUCUAGGGAGUUCUUCCUAGCCACCGUGCUUCUACACCUGCAUUGCUUGCUGAUUGGGGUUUUAGGCUGGGUUUCUGUACAGCACUUUUGUGACGUCAGCUGAUGUAAGAAGGGCUUUAUAAAUACAUUUUAUUUUAUUUGAUCCAGGUUGCAGGCACUGGUUACAGUUUGAAGUGUUUUCCUGAGUGGGCAGCUUGAUGAUAGCCAGUCAAUAUUUAAAUCACCCAGAAAAUAUACUUCUCUGUUGAUAUCACAUACAUUAUCAAGCAUUUCACACAUAUUAUCCAGAUACUGACUGUUAGCACUUGGUGGUCUAUAGCAGCUCUCCACAAGAAUGGGCUUUAGGUGAUGCAGAUGAACCUGUAGCCAUAUUACUUCAACAGUUAUUUAAAAUUAGAUUGCCUCCAAGCUUUACAGGAAUGUGGUUCUGAAUAUAGACCGCAACACCGCCUCCGUUGACAUUUCUGUCUUUUCGGUAGAUGUUAUAACCAUGUAUUGCUACCACUGUAUCAUUAAAGGUAUUGUCUACGUGAGUUUCAGAGAUAGUCAGAAUAUGAAUGUCAUCUGUUACAAGCAAGUUAUUGACUUCAUGGACCUUGUUUCUUAGGCUACAUAUGUUAAUAUGGGCUAUUUUUAGCACUUUUCUGGGUUGCUUGAUUGUUUUUAAUGCUUUACUGGGAAGCUUAUCAGAGGUAGACUUACUCAUGUUAUUUACAUUGGAGCUGAUAGUAAAGGGUGAGCUGCAUAAAGUGGUCUUCUAACUAUUGCACACUACCUCAAUGCUAACAGUGUAAUUACUGCUUACAAUAGCUGUAGGAUAAACAUGUAUUCGGUGCAAUUAGGGAUAAAUAAAUUAAAUGACUUAUAUUGUGUUUGCCAAUGCCCUUAAGAUGAUGUACAUUUAAGGCAGCAUUAAGAUGACCCAUUGUCACAGUGGUAGGCAUAAACUGAGCUGGUCAUGGAUCAUUUACCAGUCAUUGUUUCAACGCAGCCUUGAAAUGCGUGGACAGAGUCCAGGAGACAAGAUUAUUUGGAUGGACUCCGUCAGCAGCUCCUGAACUCGUCAGCAGCUCCAGAAGAGGAAGAUCACCAUGGUUGGCACAGUUAGAAAGAACAAGCUUGAGCUCCCCCCUGCACUCCUCGCAACAAAGGGGAGAGAGGCCUUCUCAUGAAAGUUUGCCUUCACCCACCACCACUCUAGUUUCUUACCUCCCAAAGAAGAACAAGAAUGUGGUCCUCCUGAGCACACUGCAAAAAAGGGCUGAGAUCAGUAUUCGUGAGGACACGAAGCCAGCCAUCAUCCUGGACUACAACCACAACAAAGGAGGUGUGGACAACCUGGACAAGGUGAUUGGAACUUACAGCUGCAGGAGGAUGGCUGCCCGCUGGCCCCUGGUCAUCUUCCAUAACAUCAUUGAUUUGUCAUACAAUGCCUUCGUGAUAUGGAACAAGAUCAACCCUACCUGGAUGCCUGAUAUGCGGAACAAGAGGAGGGUGUUCCUGGAGAAGCUAGGAAAGGCACUUGUAACCCCACACAUUCAAAGAAGGGAGUGCCUACCCCGCACAGCAUUUUCUGCAGCACUUGUGAAAGCUGUUCAGGGGGCUGAAUCUUGUCCUGAUCCACCUGAGGCUGCAGCUGGGGCAGGCAAGAGAAAGAAAUGCCAAUUCUGCCCCAAAAGAAGGACUGUAAAACAAGAACUAUGUGCUACACAUGUGAAAAGACAUACUGUCCUACAUGUGCUAAUUAGAGUUGAUUGAAUGAUGUUCUUCACAUUUUUGUUUUGUAUAUAUUAUCUUAUUUUAUUCUUAUUUAUUGUUGUUGUUUAUACACCUUGUGGGUUGAGGCAAAGGUACAGGACUGUAGGCAGGCUCAGGGUCAGGUCAGGCAGAGGUCGGUAAUCCAGAGUAGUGGGGCAAAAAUACAGGACGGCAGGCAGGCUCAUGGUCAGGACAGGCAGAGGGGUCAAAGCUGGGAAAAACUAGAAAACAGGAACUAAGAAAAGACAGGAGCAAGGGGGAAAACGCUGGUAGGUUCUAUGAACAAAAACAAGCUGCUUCAUUUUAGGGGUUUAGUGAAGGCGGGUCAUUUUUUAUCCUUAGAACAAGGGUAGUAUACAGAAUGUUAAGACUACACAAGGGUACAACUGUUGUUUUGGUCUGUCCUCUCUUGAGCUAUAGCUAAGGUGACCAUAUAUGGUAUCUAGAUGCAUGGAAGGAAUACUUUGGAGAACAGUGUGAAUCUCACCCCCUCUAACCGGCUGAAGUAAUGGCAAAAAUGGCGUUCAAUAUGGCCCUGUCUUUCACCACUUCUACUGUGAGACCUGAGCCUUAGCCAGCAACCACAGCAUCCAGUCGAAGCUAUCAACUGUCUUUUCUCUCAUGCCUUUUCUCUCAGGAGUGUGACAUGAGCUCAUGUGGAGUGAGCAUGGAGAGAGAUCCCGUCCAAACUUAUCUCAUGCUGCUCGUGUACUGGUAGGAAGACAUAAUGGACUGUGAAGGACAGUGGCGGCUCAGGUAAGAGACAUUAUCAAGGGCAAUCCACUUUGAACAUGUGCCAUUGGUAGGACAAACUGAAAAACUAUCUGAAGCAGAACAUGAAGAAAUGCAGGAAGAAGAGUGCCAGGAAAGAGGGGGGAGGUCAACUGUGCCCGUAAUUUGAUUAAGGUUUGCCCUAAACUGUUUAUUUGAGGUAUCAGGGUGAUUGUGGAGGUCUGCACACUGGGAUAUGUAUGGUCAUUUAGGUUUUAAAAAAUGCAUUGAGAUACCGAUCUGUCAUUAACAUGCCACUUGCGACAGUGUAAUCUUGUAAUUUUGUUCUACCGUGUUAUCAGAAUUCUAAUGUUACAGCGCAUCAAUACAUAUAGCUAUCUGGAUGAUACAGUACAACUGACUUGAGCAUGUUUUACUAUAUGUUAAUAACUGUAUAAGUGGACUAGCAGUAGUGACUAACGGGUUAUGGGUUAGAUGGAAUGAUUUAUGUGCAAAUGUAGGAGGUUAAGUACAUACGGGGCAUGUGUUUGAGACAGAAUGUUUGCAUACAGGUGUUAAUUGCAGAUUCUAGAAGAGAUAGUGUUGUCAUUUCAGACACUAUUUUCAACUUUCAGUGAGGGGAUUGUCAAAGAUGGUACAACGCUUGAAAGAAUAGCCACAGAUCCUUGUAUACAGGAGGCCACCUCACCGGAAGGGAAGUUCGCUGUAGUAGUGAUAGAGGAAAAUAAAAUGUUUGAAAUGACUAAUUAUGUAUACAUUCCAAUCAGAAACUGACUAGUCCAAAUGCUAUAAUGUACUGUCCCUCUUGCUCCCUUUCACAAUUGUAUAUAAUGUAGUCAGGAAGUUUAGUAACAAUGAAGGUCUGUUCUUUAAGUUCAUUCAGUUGUACAAAUCUCCAGGUGGUGGGAACGGACCAUCUCCAAAAUGGUCGGGAAUGUUGAUUUAUGCUGACUGGCCUUGACUUCGUGCUGAUAACGCGGAGGCUUGAGAAUUAGAGGGGCCCUCUGUUUGUGAAACGGAACGUUUGGAAAACGCUGACGUCAUUUUCAGUUUAUAACCUGUGGUAAUGUGUGUAAGCAUUUAGUACUCUCUGGAAUUAAACGCUCUUUACCUGGCUUUUAA